rnacentral:rRNA from 1 species
GGACUACAGGGGUAUCUAAUCCUGUUCGCUCCCCACGCUUUCGCUCCUCAGCGUCAGUAUCGGCCCAGAAUGCCGCCUUCGCUACGGGUGUUCCACCUGAUAUCUGCGCAUUUCACCGCUCCACCAGGUAUUCCACAUUCCCCUACCGAACUCUAGUCAUGGCAGUAUCGAAUGACCCCUCCAAGUUGAGCCUGGAGAUUUCACAUCCGACUUACCAAACCGCCUACGAGCUCUUUACGCCCAAUAAAUCCGGACAACGCUCGCCCCCUACGUAUUACCGCGGCUGCUGGCAC